rnacentral:rRNA from 1 species
UACGUAGGGUGCAAGCGUUGUCCGGAAUUAUUGGGCGUAAAGAGCUCGUAGGCGGUCUGUCGCGUCGGAUGUGAAAAUCAGGGCUCAACCCUGGACCUGCAUUCGAUACGGGCAGACUAGAGUUCGGCAGGGGAGACUGGAAUUCCUGGUGUAGCGGUGAAAUGCGCAGAUAUCAGGAGGAACACCGGUGGCGAAGGCGGGUCUCUGGGCCGAAACUGACGCUGGAGGAGCGAAAGCUAGGGGAGCAAACGGG